rnacentral:lncRNA from 1 species
AGAGCUUUGCCACCUGUUUUCAGGCUGCCUCUGCCUCCAAACCCUGCGGAGCCCUCCCUGCCCCGUGCUUUGAAGCAGUUUCUUUGGAAGCUGCUGCACAGGGGUUAACAACAAGCAACAACUCAGGUCGCAUUCUUGUCAACGGAAGGGAGGGCCAGGUGGAACCGCCAAGGGGGCCAUUUCUGGCUUUGCUGGAGGCUGUCAGCUUCUGGUGGGAGCCACAGCCUGAGGGCAGCCAGGAUGGCUCUGCUGGGAGGGACACCCUGCCCAACCCUGGGAGCAGGUGACGAAGGCUCCUGGAGGCAUGGUCACAUCCCUGGGUCCCAGAGGCAGGAACAAAGCCCCCAGGGCAGGCAUCCAAGGGCUUCCGGAGAGCCACAGAAAACCUGGCGUGGAGGUUGCUGCUUGCCUUCUAGGAAUGAUCUUGGAUGUGCUGGUGGCAAUUCCCCCUCCCUUUGGUGAUCCCCCUCACAUCUGCCCCAAGCGACUUCUCCAGGGCCAGCCUUAGGAGGCAGAGAGAUCCCGCUCUGGACUGCUGUCCCAGGCCCUGAGGGUGCCAUGGGUUACAUGUGUGUUUACAUGAGUCUAUGAGUUGAAUCCCCAUAAGCCUGGGGGAAGCACCAUGUCUGAAGCAGCAGCUGCAUUUGUAAGAUGAAGAUCUGAGCCAGUUUUUCAUUAUAUCUGCAGUGUUCAUCAAGAAAGGGCCUCCGGGUUUGUGUUUACUGGACAUGAAUUGAGCUGCUCUCCAGAGAUAAGAAAAAAAUAUUACAGCCCUGCUAUGUGGGCACCCCACGGCAGCCCCCGGGGUUAAGGGGCAGCUUUCUUUCCAAGGAAUCCCAUUGCCAAAGAUGAACCUUCAGAUGGGGAAACUGAGGACCCAGAGGAAGCAAGAGCAGCCCCAGGCCACACAACCCUCUUUUUAUUAUUCAUUCACUGACUACACUGCAGAGGUUGGACCCAUAUCUCAUUAUUUGAAUAGUAAAUUGUUUUUUCUUCCUGACCCUUGGUCUGUUGGGUCUCUCAUUGCGCCAUGCAUCCAAGAAAGAACGUUCUGAAGCUUUCCAGUGCCACCCAAUCCCUGUAUCCUACUUUAUGCUUGAAAGUAAAGCUCACGGGUUUUUUUCUACUUCGGGUUGUUUAAAUAACCACAAUCGGUCGGGAGCGGUGGCUCACGCCUGUAAUCCCAGCACUUUGGGAGGCCGAGGCGGGUGGAUCACCUGAGGUCAGGAGUUAGAGACUAGCCUGGCCAACAUGGUGAAACCCCGUCUCUACGAAAUAUACAAAAAUUAGCCGGGCGUGGUGGCGGGCCCCUGUAAUCCCAACUACUGGGGAGGCUGAGGCUUGAACCCGGGAGGCGGAGGUUGCAGUGAGCCGAGAUUGCGCCAUUGCACUCCAGCCUGGGCGACAAGA